GCCUGGCUGGCUCAGUCAGUUAAGCACCUGCCUUCAGCUCAGGUCAUGAUCUCAGGGUCAUGGGAUCAAGCCCCAUGUUGGGUU
rnacentral:tRNA from 1 species